rnacentral:tRNA from 1 species
GGAAGAGCAACGCCUCCGGUGAGGCGCGCGGCCUUCAAAGCCGUUGAGGCGCGUUCCCCGCGCUUGGCGGGUUCGACUCCUGCCUCUUCCG